rnacentral:rRNA from 1 species
AGAGUUUGAUCCUGGCUCAGGACGAACGCUGGCGGCGUGCCUAACACAUGCAAGUGGAGCGACGAACCAGGCUUCGGCCUGGGGCAAAGCCGCGAACGGGUGAGUAACACGUGGGUAACCUGCCCUGAUGAUCGGGACAACCCGAGGAAACUCGGGCUAAUACCGAAUGUGCCCUCCGGCCAUAAGGCCGCUGGGGAAAGGAAGCUUCGGCCUCCGCAUCGGGAUGGGCCCGCGGCCCAUUAGCUUGUUGGUGAGGUAACGGCUCACCAAGGCGACGAUGGGUAGCUGGUCUGAGAGGACGAUCAGCCACACUGGGACUGAGACACGGCCCAGACUCCUACGGGAGGCAGCAGUGGGGAAUCUUGCGCAAUGCGCGAAAGCGUGACGCAGCAACGCCGCGUGGGGGAAGACGGCCUUCGGGUUGUAAACCCCUUUCAGUUGGGACGAAGCUUCGUCGGUGAACAGCCGGCUGGAGUGACGGUACCUUCAGAAGAAGCCCCGGCUAACUACGUGCCAGCAGCCGCGGUAAUACGUAGGGGGCUAGCGUUGUCCGGAAUCAUUGGGCGUAAAGAGCGUGUAGGCGGCUCGGUAAGUCCGCUGUGAAAGUCCAGGGCUCAACCCUGGAAUGCCGGUGGAAACUGUCGAGCUAGAGUCCGGAAGAGGCGAGUGGAAUUCCUGGUGUAGCGGUGAAAUGCGCAGAUAUCAGGAGGAACACCUAUGGCGAAGGCAGCUCGCUGGGACGCGACUGACGCUGAGACGCGAAAGCGUGGGGAGCAAACAGGAUUAGAUACCCUUGUAGUCC